CCCUAACUGGCUCAGAUGGUAAGGUGUCUGCUUACAAUGCGGGAGACCUGGGUUCAAUCCCUGGGUUGGGAA
rnacentral:tRNA from 1 species